rnacentral:rRNA from 1 species
CCUACGGGAGGCAGCAGUGGGGAAUAUUGCACAAUGGGGGAAACCCUGAUGCAGCGACGCCGCGUGAGUGAAGAAGUAUUUCGGGAUGUAAAGCUCUAUCAGCAGGAACGAGACAAGACGGUACCUGACUAAGAAGCCCCGGCUAACUACGUGCCAGCAGCCGCGGUAAUACGUAUGGGGCAAGCGUUAUCCGGAAUCAGUGGGUGUAAAGGGAGCGUAGACGGCUGUGCAAGCCUGAAGUGAAAGGCGGGGGCCCAACCCCUGGAUGGCGUUGGGAACUGUACGGCUGGAGUGCAGGAGAGGUCAGUGGAAUUCCUAGUGUAGCGGUGAAAUGCGUAGAUAUUAGGAGGAACACCAGUGGCGAAGGCGGCUUACUGGACUGUAACUGACGUUGAGGCUCGAAAGCGUGGGGAGCAAACAGGAUUAGAUACCCCUGUAGUC